rnacentral:rRNA from 1 species
CAGCCGCCACGGUAAUACGAAGGGUGCAAGCGUUAAUCGGAAUUACUGGGCGUAAAGCGUGCGUAGGCGGUUUGUUAAGUCUGUUGUGAAAUCCCCGGGCUCAACCUGGGAAUGGCAAUGGAUACUGGCAAGCUAGAGUGUGUCAGAGGAUGGUGGAAUUCCCGGUGUAGCGGUGAAAUGCGUAGAGAUCGGGAGGAACAUCAGUGGCGAAGGCGGCCAUCUGGGACAACACUGACGCUGAGGCACGAAAGCGUGGGGAGCAAACAGGAUUAGAUACCCCAGUAGUCCCUGUCUCUUAACA